GAGCACGUAGGUGGGUUUGUAAGUCAGAUGUGAAAGCCUUCUGUUCAACGGAAGAAUUGCAUCUGAAACUGCGAGUCUUGAGUGUAGGAGGGAAGAAUGGAACUUCUGGUGGAGCGGUGAAAUGCGUAGAUAUCAGAAGGAACUCCGGCGGCGAAAGCGAUUCUCUGGCCUAUUACUGGCACUCAGUGUGUGAAAGCUAGGGGAGCAAACGGGAUUAGAUACCCCGGUAGUCCUAGCCGUAAACGAUGGGCACUAAGUAGAGGGGUUUU
rnacentral:rRNA from 1 species